GAUGAACGCUGGCGGCGUGCCUAACACAUGCAAGUCGAACGGCAGCACGGUAAGAUUGUUCUCUUGCUGUUGGCGGGGGGCGGACGGGUGACGAGUGGAUCAUAAUCUUCUUUUUCUUGGGUGAUAACGGAAGAAAGCUUACGCUAAUACCUCAUACUACCUACCGGUGAAAGCAGGGGAGCUUGACGCCUUUGGCGAUAGUAUUAGCCGAUUACGGAUUAGCUAGUUGGCGGGGUAAGGGCCCACCAAGGCAAGGAUCCGUAGCUUGCCUGAGAGGAUGAUCGGCCACACUGGAACUGAGACACGGUCCAGACUCCUACGGGAGGCAGCAGUAGGGAAUAUUCGGCAAUGGGCGAAAGCCUGACCCAGCAACACCGCGUGGGUGAAGAAGGCCUUCGGGUCGUAAAGCCCUUUUGUUGGGAAAGAACAGAUGUAGAUUAAUCCGCCGACGUUCUGACGGUACCCAAACAAUAAGCACCGGCUAACUACGUG
rnacentral:rRNA from 1 species